ACGGUCCUAAGGUAGCGAAAUUCCUUGUCGGGUAAGUUCCGACCCGCACGAAAGGUGUAACGAUUUGGGCACUGUCUCAACGAGGGACCCGGUGAAAUUGAAAUACCUGUGAAGAUGCAGGUUACCCGCGACUGGACAGAAAGACCCCAUGGAGCUUUACUGUAACCUGACAUUGGGUUUUGUUGUAUUACGUACAGGAUAGGUGGGAGGCUUAGAAGGCUGGACGCUAGUCUGGCUGGAGCCGGCGUUGGGAUACCACCCUUGAUACAACGGAAUUCUAACCGAGAGAGUAACGAAAUCCGGGACAGUGUCAGGCGGGCAGUUUGACUGGGGCGGUCGCCUCCGAAAGAGUAACGGAGGCGCCCAAAGGUUCCCUCAGCGCGGCCGGAAAUCGCGCGAAGAGUGUAAAGGCAGAAGGGAGCUUGACUGCGAGCCAAACACGGCGAGCAGGUACGAAAGUAGGGCUUAGUGAUCCGGUGGUACCGAGUGGAAGGGCCAUCGCUCAACGGAUAAAAGCUACCCUGGGGAUAACAGGCUAAUCUCUCCCAAGAGUCCAUAUCGACGGGGAGGUUUGGCACCUCGAUGUCGGCUCAUCACAUCCUGGGGCUGAAGUCGGUCCCAAGGGUUGGGCUGUUCGCCCAUUAAAGUGGUACGUGAGCUGGGUUCAGAACGUCGUGAGACAGUUCGGUCCCUAUCCAUCGCGGGCGCAAGAGAUUUGAAGGGGGCUGCUCCUAGUACGAGAGGACCGGAGUGGACGAACCGCUGGUGUACCAAUUAUCCCGCCAGGGGUACAGUUGGGUAGCUACGUUCGGAAAGGAUAAACGCUGAAAGCAUCUAAGCGUGAAACCAGCCUUAAGAUGAGAUCUCUCAUAGAGCAAUCUAGUAAGACACCUUAAAGAAGAUGAGGUUGAUAGGUCGGGAGUGUAAGUACAGCAAUGUAUUGAGCGGACCGAUACUAAUAUGUCGAGGGCUUGACUUA
rnacentral:rRNA from 1 species